AGGAGGGUAGCUUAAUUGGUCUAAAGCGCCUGUUCUCCAAAAACAGGGUUGAAGGUUUAAUUCCUUCCCCUCCUGCCA
rnacentral:tRNA from 1 species